CAGCCCACGUGGCGUGAUCCCAGUGGCUUCCUGCCUCACAGUCAAGGGAGCCGAGGACGUCCUCAACAAGCAGUACGCGUUCGAGCUAUCCACGCGCUCCGACACCAUGUACUUCAUCGCCGACUCGGAGAAGGAGAAGGAGGACUGGAUCAACUCGAUCGGACGGUCCAUAGUGCAGCACUCGAGGUCCGUCACCGACUCCGAGGUCGUCGAUUACGAUAGCAACAAGUGAUGGGGGAAGGGGCAAUUUGGUCAGAUUACUACUCUGUGAUGUGAACCAAAGAGCUAUAGCCUAUAGCACAAUCACAAAGAGCUUUACAGCCUCUCUGGAGCUGUGUGGCAUUGCUCCUGUGGAAUUGCUUUACAAAAGUUAGCCAGCUUAGUGUCUGUGUAAGCAUUAGGUGGUGGAAUGGGGAGGUCACUUUGUGAAGUGGUAGAGCAAGAGAGAAGACAUGUUUCCUCUCUGAUUUAGAUUAGAUGUCUGUCUGUAGGAUAUGAUUGAUGGAGAAUAGCCCCAACACGACACAACUCCCCUUGAAUUUUUUUAAGGUAAACGGUAAACCCAGCUGGCAAGCAGAGAUUGCUAUCCUGAAAGGGUGUAUUUCUUGCAACAUAGGUGAGCAUAUCCCUACACAAAGUGUCAACAGUUCCCCCAUCUCUGGAAUUCUAGGUUGAGGACGGUUACUCUCUGACAAUGUUGGCUGGCAACUAUACGAGGCCGGUUGACACGAAUCAAAGCUAAGUGAGUUAUUCCAUGAGCUUAGUGUGCUCCAAGAACAUCAUCAUCAUCUAUGGCAUCCUUGAAGGCAAUCAAAGCAGGUUUGGCAAUCUCAGUAAGCACAAGCCUGCGGCAGCUGCCUUAGUAGAUCAGACUUCAGAGUUCAUGCAGAAGCCCACAAUGAGGACAGCAGACAUUAGUGUUAAAUAUCCCCUGGCCUUAGUAGAUUAGACUUCAGAGUUCAUGCAGAGUUCACCCUAAUUACCAAGCAGUCUUUGCUCGUAAUUCCAUACUGAAAAUCUUAGUCAAGUAAUUUGAUCAAAGAAUUGCUUUGGUGUUAAAUAAAUGCUGGCCAACUCUUGGUCGAAUUCGAAUGA